rnacentral:rRNA from 1 species
GACGAACGCUGGCGGCGUGCUUAACACAUGCAAGUCGAACGGAGUGGCGAACGGGUGAGUAACACGUGGGUGAUCUGCCUUGCACUCUGGGAUAAGCUUGGGAAACUGGGUCUAAUACCGGAUAGUGCAAGAUGAGCUCGCGGCCUAUCAGCUUGUUGGUGGGGUAAUGGCCUAACAAGGCGUCGACGGGUAGUCGGCCUGAGAGGGUGUACGGCCACAGUGGGACUGGGAUACGGCCCAGACUCCUACGGGAGGCAGCAGUGGAGAAUAUUGCACAAUGGGCGGAAGCCGUAUGCAGCGACGCCGCGUGGGGGAUGACGGCCUUCGGGUUUGAAACUCCUUUCGACAGGGACGCGGUACCUGGAUAAGAAGCACCGGCUAACUACGUGCCAGCAGCCGCGGUAAUUC